rnacentral:rRNA from 1 species
GACAGAGGGUGCAAACGUUGUUCGGAAUUACUGGGCGUAAAGCGCGUGUAGGCGGCACUACAAGUCGGAUGUGAAAUCCCCGCGGCUUAACCGGUGGAAGUGCACCCGAAACUGUAGAGCUAGAGUCCCGGAGAGGAUGGUGGAAUACUUGGUGUAGAGGUGAAAUUCGUAGAUAUCAAGUGGAAACACCGGUGGCGAAGGCGGCCAUCUGGACGGUGACUGACGCUGAGACGCGAAAGCGUGGGUAGCAAACAGGG